UACGGAGGAUGCGAGCGUUAUCCGGAUUUAUUGGGUUUAAAGGGUGCGUAGGCGGUAUUUUAAGUUAGUGGUAAAACGUCGGGGCUUCACCUUGAUUGGCCAUUAAAACUGGAGUACUAGAGUACAGACGAGGUAGGCGGAAUAAGUUAAGUAGCGGUGAAAUGCUUAGAUAUCACGAAGAACUCCGAUUGCGAAGGCAGCUCACUGGACUGCAACUGACACUGAGGCUCGAAAGUGUGGGUAUCAAACAGG
rnacentral:rRNA from 1 species